UCUUGAGGGAAACCAUUUUGUUUUUGGGAUUUUCACGUAUUCAAGAUGAUGUUUUUUUUUUUUUCUUUUCUUCCUCCUUUCUUUUUGUCACGCCAAAACCAAGACAUCUUCAAACAACUGUCACGUAAGAAACGGCACGUUUUGCUCUUUUCAAGCGCAUGCCAUGAUUUGUCCCUGUCCGGAGUUUCUGCGCCUCUUCCCGUCGUUUUGCCGUAGCGUUUAGCUGAGCACCCCCCCCCCCACCCCACCCCCGCAUGCGUUUUCAUGCCCGUUGAGGUCAAUCCGGCCUUCCAUCCACGGCUAAUAGAUGUUGGCCGUUUGCUUGGAUGCACGGACAGCGUUUCUUCCACGGACGCUCCCAUGACGCCAUUUUAGCCGGGAGAGAGCUUUCGGGGAAAGGAUCCUCGUCGUCGGAAGUGUAACCGAACAACGGCUUUGAAGACGAUCCUCCUCCGUUGCCGUCGGACGCUAUGGAUUGCGACGACUUCAUCGUUGUGAAUACGCACUGAGGACCGCGGCGUGGAACAACGGUGAGACUCGAGAGCGCACCAUGGGCGCGGCACGCGUCAAACGGCGCUUCGGCGCUGCGGCGGAUGGGCCAGCGGAAGAGGAGGUCACGAGGUCACGAGGAGGUCACGAGGAGGACGGCGAUGCGCGAAGGCAGAGCGCGGCGGGAGAAGGCGGGGAGAGAAGGAGGGGAAGAGGAAGCGCUGGCGGAGGAAGACGGGAAGGCCGGUCCGGGCCGGUCCGGCCUUCCCGCUCUUCCGCCGGCCGCCGCCGGCCCCGAAAGCGCUUUGUGGGCAAGGACGGCCGCUGCAACGUGACCUUUGUCAACAUGAGCGAGAGGGGCCGGCGCUACCUGGGUGACCUCUUCACCACCUGCGUGGACAUCCGCUGGCGCUGGAUGCUGCUCAUCUUCGCUCUCUCCUUCCUUCUCUCCUGGCUGCUCUUUGGAUUCGCCUUCUGGCUCAUCGCCUCGGCGCACGGCGACCUCUCGCUCGGCCCGGCCCCCGCGGGCGGCGGGGAGGCGGCGUCGGAGCGGCCCUGCUUCCUCCAAGUGAACAGCUUCACGGCGGCUUUCCUCUUCUCGUUGGAGACGCAGACCUCCAUCGGUUACGGAUUCCGAAGCGUGACCGAACGCUGCCCCCUGGCGGUGGCGGCCGUCGUUUUGCAGUGCGUCGCGGGCUGCAUUAUCGACGCCUUCGUCGUCGGGGCGGUCAUGGCAAAGAUGGCCAAGCCCAAGAAGCGCAACCAAACGCUGGUCUUCUCCCAGACGGCCGUGGUGGCCCUGCGCGACGGCAAACUCUGCAUGAUGUGGAGAGUGGGAAACCUGCGCAAGAGUCACCUGGUGGAGGCUCACGUGCGAGCGCAGCUGUUAAAGUCAAGGGUGACGGCAGAAGGCGAGUUCCUUCCACUGGACAACUUGGACAUCAACGUUGGCUUUGACACGGGCACCGACCGGAUCUUCUUGGUCUCGCCGGUCACAAUCGUCCACGAGAUCGACGACGAGUCCCCGUUCUUCCGGAUGGACCGCAAGGCCCUGGAAAGCGAUCGGCAACUGGAGGUGGUGGUGAUACUGGAGGGCAUGGUGGAAGCCACGGCCAUGACCACGCAAUGCCGCAGCUCUUAUCUGGCCUCGGAAAUCCAGUGGGGCUAUCGUUUUGAACCCGUGCUCUUUGAGAAGAAGGACCGCUACGAGGUGGACUACUCAUUCUUCCAUCGCACAUACGAGAUCCCAAACACGCCCUUGUGUAGCGCCAAAGAGCUUGCGGAGCUCAAAUACAUCAAGAGCUCCCGCUCAUCAUUCUGCUAUGAGAACGAAGUGGCUCUGCGACUCCUUCCUCCCGAGGACAGAGCCGACGACCCGGAUCCCGAGUGUGCCGCGCCGUCCGACAGGAGGCUGUCGAACCACCUCCACUACACCUGAGAGAAAGAGUCAAAUGGAGAGGCCGCGUAGGAUGGACUCUACGCCGUCGCCGCGUUGGCUGAUUGGUCCUGGCAAUCUUUCCAAAUCAUUGAAAAUUUGAGUCUGCUCAGUUUCCGACCUGGCCCAUCGCGACUGCAGCACAGCCGUCACGGAUGGAACAAGCAACAGCACCCCGUGGUGGCGGUCACUUGCAACUGCAAUUCCCAUGGACCUUGGAAGGAUUUUGGAAGGAUUUCCGUGGAAUUCGGAUGCAGUGAACGGUCGUGUAUCCGCCCAGGUAGACCUCAGGAAUGUAUCUCGGUAUGAUGCUGAUUUAUCGUUGUGCUUUUCACAUGGUAAGUAUGGACAAUACAGUGAACCCUCGUUUAUAACUUACCUUCAGCAACUCAACAACAUAAAACACAAAUUAAUCAUGGCCACGUACCGUUUCGCCCUCUAAACAGAAAUGUAGGAGUAAUGAAAAGAAAUCGAAGCUCUUUCCGUAUGCACCUCGCGCUUUCGUCUCUCUUCUCACAAAGACGUAACUCCGUCCUUAUCGGUCUGAACCACUUCCUGACACUUAAUGCAAUCCUAAAAUGUAACAGCAGGGGGCACAAUAACCUAAAUAAAUGUGGAAACGUUAUAGUACAUUCAUUUUAAUAUGACCGUGAAUCACGACGGAUACAGUCAACUUUAUUUUUUACAAUGAUAAAAAAGCACAAUACCUUACUAUAAAAUGAAACCAAAGAUCUGAACCUGUUUUUGUUGCAUACCUAAAUUUGGCAACCUAUAUAUUGACGAAGCGCGGAGACUGCUGACAGCCAAUCAGGACGCAGAGGCACUGUUUCAAAAUAAUAAUAAUAAUCUGCACUCACAGCGAAAAAAGACCAAC